GUUUACAGCCAUACCACCCUGAACUCAUCCAAACACAUAUGAUCUCAGAAGCUAAGCAGGGUCAGGCGUGGUUAGUACUUGGAUUGGAGAAAAGAAGGGAACAUUUGUUAAACU
ensembl:rRNA 5S_rRNA 5S ribosomal RNA